GACGAACGCUGGCGGCGUGCUUAACACAUGCAAGUCGAACGGAAAGGCCCUGCUUUUGUGGGGUGCUCGAGUGGCGAACGGGUGAGUAACACGUGAGUAACCUGCCCUUGACUUGGGGAUAACUUCAGGAAACUGGGGCUAAUACCGGAUAGGAGCUCCUGCUGCAUGGUGGGGGUUGGAAAGUUUCGGCGGUUGGGGAUGGACUCGCGGCUUAUCAGCUUGUUGGUGGGGUAGUGGCUUACCAAGGCUUUGACGGGUAGCCGGCCUGAGAGGGUGACCGGCGACAUUGGGACUGAGAUACGGCCCAGACUCCUACGGGAGGCAGCAGUGGGGAAUAUUGCACAAUGGGCGGAAGCCUGAUGCAGCAACGCAGCGUGCGGGAUGACGGCCUUCGGGUUGUAAACCGCUUUCGCCUGUGACGAAGCGUGAGUGACGGUAAUGGGUAAAGAAGCACCGGCUAACUACGUG
rnacentral:rRNA from 1 species